rnacentral:rRNA from 1 species
CCUACGGGAGGCAGCAGUGGGGAAUUUUGGACAAUGGGCGAAAGCCUGAUCCAGCCAUUCCGCGUGCAGGAUGAAGGCCCUCGGGUUGUAAACUGCUUUUGUACAGAACGAAAAGGUUUCUAUUAAUACUAGGAGCUCAUGACGGUACUGUAAGAAUAAGCACCGGCUAACUACGUGCCAGCAGCCGCGGUAAUACGUAGGGUGCAAGCGUUAAUCGGAAUUACUGGGCGUAAAGCGUGCGCAGGCGGUUAUAUAAGUCAGAUGUGAAAUCCCCGGGCUCAACCUGGGAACUGCAUUUGAGACUGUAUAGCUAGAGUACGGUAGAGGGGGAUGGAAUUCCGCGUGUAGCAGUGAAAUGCGUAGAUAUGCGGAGGAACACCGAUGGCGAAGGCAAUCCCCUGGACCUGUACUGACGCUCAUGCACGAAAGCGUGGGGAGCAAACAGGAUUAGAUACCCUGGUAGUCCACGCCCUAAACGAUGUCAACUGGUUGUUGGGUCUUAACUGACUCAGUAACGAAGCUAACGCGUGAAGUUGACCGCCUGGGGAUCGGCCGCAAGGUUGAAACUCAAGGAUUGACGGNNGAGAGNGCGAGACGACGACGAGGGAGGAGG